GAUUGAAGGACGCUCGGCGUAGGAGUUCCAGAGAGAACGUUCGACUGGUGAAGCUGUGGAUUAACGAGCGCUUGUUAUUGGAAUUUGAGUAGAGAAUCUGUGAACGUUCGUCAUUUCCGGAGGGAGAUGAGCGUUUGGAAGAAGCAUUGAAUGAAGAGAGCCUGGUUGAUGUUGAAGUGAAGAUCGAGCAGUGAGAUCGCUCGGCCAGUAUUGUAUUUAGUUGAAUUGAGUGGUCGUUCGACCAUCUCUUGUUUUCUUUUGAGUUAAUUCGACCGUUCAGUAAUUAUCCUGUGUAAACCGUUCGGUCAGGUUUCUUGUACGUUUAUCUUAAAUUUGUAAAACUCUUAUGUGUGGCGUGCGACUUUUGCACAUUCGUCCGUUAUGUUGGAUUUGUACUCAAGGACGUUCGUCCUUGAGCGUUCGUUCGGGUUUUAUUUUGUUUUUAGUUGGAAAACUGUAUUGAAAUAUUAUUAAAUGUGAUUUUCUGAUUUUAUGGUGUUA